rnacentral:lncRNA from 1 species
GUUUGAUAUUACUAACAAAUAUGUUGUCAUUACAUGAUUCUGUUACUUAUUUUUUUAAGACAAAUAACUAUAUUUCAGACUACUAUCAAAAUGUAUAGAAAGCCCUUUUCCAUCAAUCCGUACCUUGCUUUUCAUAUAUUUUAAUCAUUGUAAAAAUCAUUUUUGACUUAAUAUUGUAUGAGGUGUGAAGCUUUGAAUAGGCAGACAUUGAUUGGUAUGCCCGAUACUUUCCAUAAUUAAAUAAAAUAGUAGCAAUUACUCAUCUAUCACAUAACAUACAUAAACAACCUUAUAGGGAUAAUUCUUUCUCAAAUCUUUACUUUAAUAAUAUCUAGAUUCAGAUUCAAGAUUCAAUAUUUUAUUAAAGUCUCUUACUCAUCAGUACCUUUCCUAUUAAAGCAAUAUAUUGAAAAAU